UACAGGGGGUGCAAACGUUGCUCGGAAUUAUUGGGCGUAAAGCGCGCGUAGGCGGCUACUUAAGUCGGAUGUGAAAGCCCCUGGCUCAACUGGGGAAGUGCACCCGAAACUGAGUGGCUUGAGUACUAAAGAGGGUCGCGGAAUUCCCGGUGUAGAGGUGAAAUUCGUAGAUAUCGGGAGGAACACCGGUGGCGAAGGCGGCAUGCUGGACCUCAACUGACGCUGAGGCGCGAAAGCCAGGGGAGCAAACGGG
rnacentral:rRNA from 1 species